AAAUAUGGAGAUCAGUUUUAAAGGCAGGACUUAGAGUUUUAUUUCAGCAUUAGAAAGCAUGGGAGGCCAGGCGCGGUGGCUCACGCCUGUAAUCCCAACACUCUGGGAGGCCAAGGAGGGUGGAUCACAAGGUCAGGAGUUCGAGACCAGUCUGGCCAAUAUGGUGAAACCCCGUCUCUACUAAGAAUACAAAAAUUAGCCCUCUCCCUCUCCCUCUCCCUCUCCCCACGGUCUCCCUCUCCCUCUCUUUCCACGGUCUCCCUCUGAUGCCGAGCCGAAGCUGGACGGUACUGCUGCCAUCUCAGCUCACUGCAACCUCCCUGCCUGAUUCUCCUGCCUCAGCCUGCCGAGUGCCUGCGAUUGCAGGUGCGCGCCGCCAUGCCUGACUGGUUUUCGUAUUUUUUU
rnacentral:lncRNA from 1 species